rnacentral:rRNA from 1 species
UACGGGAUAAUAUAUUUGAGAGGCAUCUCUUGAAUAUCAAAGGUGGGCCAGUACAGGAUGGACCCGCGUCUGAUUAGCUAGUUGGUAAGGUAACGGCUUACCAAGGCGACGAUCAGUAGCCGACCUGGGAGGGUGAUCGGCCACAUUGGAACUGAGACACGGUCCAAACUCCUACGGGAGGCAGCAGUGGGGAAUAUUGCACAAUGGGCGAAAGCCUGAUGCAGCAACGCCGCG